rnacentral:rRNA from 1 species
GAUGAACGCUGGCGGCGUGCCUAAUACAUGCAAGUCGAGCGAACAGACGAGGAGCUUGCUCCUCUGACGUUAGCGGCGGACGGGUGAGUAACACGUGGAUAACCUACCUAUAAGACUGGGAUAACUUCGGGAAACCGGAGCUAAUACCGGAUAAUAUAUUGAACCGCAUGGUUCAAUAGUGAAAGACGGUUUUGCUGUCACUUAUAGAUGGAUCCGCGCCGCAUUAGCUAGUUGGUAAGGUAACGGCUUACCAAGGCAACGAUGCGUAGCCGACCUGAGAGGGUGGUCCGGCCCCCCGGAACCUGGACAACGUCCCGAACCCCACCGGAGGGCGCCGGAGGGAAUCCUCCGGCAUUGGCCGAAGCCCUACCGAGCCACGGCGGCGGGGUGAAGAAGGUCCUUCGGUUCUAAAACCCUUUUAUUUGGGAAAAACCAAAGUUGUAGUAAACUAUGCCGUUUUUAAGGUACCCAAAUCAGAAGCCCCCGCUAACCUCCUU